AUUGAACGCUGGCGGUAUGCUUAACACAUGCAAGUCGAACGGUAGCAGUGUCUUCGGACAGCUGACGAGUGGCGGACGGGUGAGUAAUACAUAGGAAUCUACCUUUUUGACGGGGAUAACUAGAGGAAACUCUAGCUAAUACCGGAUACGCCCGAAAGGGGAAAGCAGGGGAUCGCAAGAACUUGCGCUGAAAGAUGAGCCUAUGUUGGAUUAGCUAGUUGGUGGGGUAAAGGCCUACCAAGGCGACGAUCUAUAGCUGGUCUGAGAGAACGACCAGCCACACGGGGACUGAGCCACGGCCCAGACUCCUUCGGGAGGCAGCAGUGGGGAAUCUUGGACAAUGGGGGAAACCCUGAUCCAGCAAUACCGCGUGGGUGAAGAAUGCCUGAGGGUUGUAAAGCCCUUUUAGUGAGGAGGAAGGAGUAUAUGUUAAUAACAUGUACUUUUGACGUUACUCACAGAAAAAGCACCGGCUAACUCUGUGCCAGCAGCCGCGGUAACAC
rnacentral:rRNA from 1 species